ACAUGAAGGAGACCUGUCUGCACAGUCUCCCCAUGACCACCAGGACUGAGCCAGCUGAUCUGGUUAGGCAGGGGUCCCCUUCCGCCCUUGUUGUUGUGUGUGCGUGUACCCUGAAGCUAUGGCCUCGAAGAAGACAGCUUUUCUGUCUAGGACAGGAUGACUCUUCACUUAAUGCUAUAGAAGUAGCUGCACUCUCCGCUAGAGCCUCCGAACAGCCCCGGAGGAGUCUGAGAAGGGCAUCUUGAC
rnacentral:snRNA from 1 species